rnacentral:rRNA from 1 species
UGAUGACGAGACGCUAAGGCGUUGAAGCAGUGUAUGUCAGACUUCCAAGAAAAGCUCGCAAUGUCAUAAUUAAAAAAUGCCUGUACCAUAACCGACACAGGUGGGUAGGUAGAGUAUACUAAGGGGCGCGAGAUAACUCUCUCUAAGGAACUCGGCAAAAUGACUCCGUAACUUCGGGAGAAGGAGUGCCUUAUUUAUAAGGUUGCAAUAACAAGAUCCAAGCAACUGUUUAUCAAAAACACAGGUCUCCGCUAAGUCGUAAGACGAUGUAUGGGGGCUGACGCCUGCCCAGUGCCAGAAGGUUAAAGAAGUUGGUUAGUGUAUGCGAAGCUGAUGACUGAAGCCCUGGUGAACGGCGGCCGUAACAAUAACGGUCCUAAGGUAGCGAAAUUCCUUGUCGGGUAAGUUCCGACCCGCACGAAAGGCGUAAUGAUUUGGAUACUGUCUCGGAGAGAGGCUCGGUGAAAUAGACUUGUCUGUGAAGAUGCGGACUACCUGCACCAGGACAGAAAGACCCUAUGAAGCUUUACUGUAACUUGAAAUUGGAAUUGGACUUUGCUUGCGCAGUAUAGGUGGGAAGCGUUGAAGAUAUUCUUGCGGGAGUAUUGGAGCUAUCAGUGAGAUACCACUCUUGUAAUGUUAGAUUUCUAACUUUGAACCAUAAUCUGGUCAAAGAACAGUUUCAGGUGGGCAGUUUGACUGGGGCGGUCGCCUCCCAAAUGGUAACGGAGGCGUACAAAGGUUUCCUCUGAACGGAUAGAAAUCGUAUCUAGAGUGUAAAGGCAUAAGGAAGCUUGACUGUGAGACCUACAAGUCGAGCAGGGACGAAAGUCGGUCUUAGUGAUCUGACGGUACUGAGUGGAAAGGCCGUCACUCAACGGAUAAAAGUUACUCUAGGGAUAACAGGCUGAUCUCCCCCAAGAGUUCACAUCGACGGGGAGGUUUGGCACCUCGAUGUCGGCUCAUCGCAUCCUGGGGCGGUAGUACGUCCCAAGGGUUGGGCUGUUCGCCCAUGAAAGCGGUACGCGAGCUGGGUUCAGAACGUCGUGAGACAGUUCGGUCCAUAUCCGGUGUAGGCGCUAGAAUAUUGAGAGGAGCCUUCUUUAGUACGAGAGGACCGAGAAGGACACACCGCUGGUGUACCAGUUAUCGUGCCAACGGUAAACGCUGGGUAGCUAUGUGUGGAGUGGAUAACCGCUGAAAGCAUCUAAGUGGGAAGCCCACCUCAAGAUGAGUAUUCU